AUACGGAGGGUGCAAGCGUUAAUCGGAAUUACUGGGCGUAAAGCGCGCGUAGGCGGUUUAGUCAGUCAGAUGUGAAAGCCCCGGGCUCAACCUGGGAACUGCAUUUGAUACUGCUGAACUAGAGUAUGUUAGAGGGAAGUGGAAUUCCGGGUGUAGCGGUGAAAUGCGUAGAUAUCCGGAGGAACACCAGUGGCGAAGGCGACUUCCUGGACCAAUACUGACGCUGAGGUGCGAAAGCGUGGGUAGCAAACAGGAUUAGAUACCCCAGUAGUCC
rnacentral:rRNA from 1 species